rnacentral:rRNA from 1 species
GACGAACGCGGGCGGCGUGCUUAACACAUGCAAGUCGAACGAAGAGCGAUGGAAGCUUGCUUCUAUCAAUCUUAGUGGCGAACGGGUGAGUAACGCGUAAUCAACCUGCCCUUCAGAGGGGGACAACAGUUGGAAGCGACUGCUAAUACCGCAUACGAUCUAAUCUCGGCAUCGAGGAUAGAUGAAAGGUGGCCUCUACAUGUAAGCUAUCACUGAAGGAGGGGAUUGCGUCUGAUUAGCUAGUUGGAGGGGUAACGGCCCACCAAGGCGAUGAUCAGUAGCCGGUCUGAGAGGAUGAACGGCCACAUUGGGACUGAGACACGGCCCAGACUCCUACGGGAGGCAGCAGUGGGGAAUCUUCCGCAAAUGGACGAAAAGUUCUGACGGGAGCAAACGCCCGCGUGAAGUGAAUGGACGGGCCCUUUCGGGUUGUAAAAGCUUCUGGU